CUUCGAUAGUGGGAACGUAUUAAAAUUAGAACGAUAUAGGCAAGAUUAGCGUGGUCCUCGUAUAAGGAUAACACACAGAAUCCUGAAACGUUCCAUUUUGUC